GUCUGAGAGAUCCUGAUUAAUCUAAUCUAUAUAAAAUUUUACCUCGUGUUUCCAAUAAAUUUAAACAAUGUAUAGAUUUUUUCGGAUUCAUAAAGGUUGUUCCCCAAUCAUUAAACUGUGUAGAUAUCGGACAGUCCUGUUCCAGUUUUCUAACGGGCAAGGGGAUUUCAGGUAUUUUUUCCUUUUUAACUAACUCUUUUGCUUUUGAAUAAAUUAUCUUAAUUCCAUAUCCGUUAAAGGGAAACAAUAGUCACCCAGACCACUUCAGCUCAAUGAAGUGGUCUGGGUGCCAGGUCCUCCAGGUUUUAACCCUUCAGAUGCAAACAUAGCAGUUUCGGAGAAACAUUGCAGGGUUAAUCCAACCUCUAGUGGCUGUCUUCCAAAAUUUGCAUCCAGCGUGCAGAACGUCCAUAGGAAAGCAUUGAGAAAUGCUUUCCUAUGGCCUGGCUACGCGUUCGGCUACACUCGGGAGCUGACGUUUGCGUGGGAGGGAGCCCGGCGCUGGAUUAAGGUAAGCUGCUGAAGCGGGUUUGUUUUCCUGACACUAUAGCGAUCCGUUAACAUUGAAACUCACUUUAACUCGCUCACUGUAGUUACCAGCCCUGUCUGUUGUUCUAACUCAGACUCUGUUGACGAACUCGCUAGAAGCUAAGCGCUGGCACUGCAGGAGGCACGGACCGUAUGACAAACAUGCUCCACAAAGUGCAUCAAGGAGAGCACACCGGCUGCCGCGAGGGGCGUUCCCCGAGAACAGUGCCUCCAAUCACGGGAAGGUGAAAUAAAGCGCAUUCACCGUCAGCCAAUCACAAGCCGCCUUAUAGUCCGGAACUGGGGUUUCAACACACGUAGAGCAUCGGCACGCCGUCCAAUCAGAAUCCUGUCCUUGUUCCAGGGAGCUGCGAUGCCAG